GCCUGGAUAGCUAAGUGGUAGAGCUCCUGCUUAGAGUUGCAGGGGUCCUGGGUUCGAUUCCCAGUCCAGCA
rnacentral:tRNA from 1 species